GAUGAACGCUGGCGGCGUGCCUAAUACAUGCAAGUCGAGCGAACAGACGAGGAGCUUGCUCCUCUGACGUUAGCGGCGGACGGGUGAGUAACACGUGGAUAACCUACCUAUAAGACUGGGAUAACUUCGGGAAACCGGAGCUAAUACCGGAUAAUAUAUUGAACCGCAUGGUUCAAUAGUGAAAGACGGUUUUGCUGUCACUUAUAGAUGGAUCCGCGCCGCAUUAGCUAGUUGGUAAGGUAACGGCUUACCAAGGCAACGAUGCGUAGCCGACCUGAGAGGGUGAUCGGCCACACUGGAACUGAGACACGGUCCAGACUCCUACGGGAGGCAGCAGUAGGGAAUCUUCCGCAAUGGGCGAAAGCCUGACGGAGCAACGCCGCGUGAGUGAUGAAGGUCUUCGGAGCGUAAAACUCUGUUAUGAGGGAAGAACAAAUGUGUAAGUAACUAUGCACGUCUUGACGGUAACUAAUCAGAAAGCCACGGCUAACUACGUG
rnacentral:rRNA from 1 species